rnacentral:rRNA from 1 species
UACGAAGGGGGCUAGCGUUGCUCGGAAUCACUGGGCGUAAAGGGUGCGUAGGCGGGUCUUAAGUCAGGGGUGAAAUCCUGGAGCUCAACUCCAGAACUGCCUUUGAUACUGAGGAUCUUGAGUUCGGGAGAGGUGAGUGGAACUGCGAGUGUAGAGGUGAAAUUCGUAGAUAUUAGGAAGAACACCAGUGGCGAAGGCGGCUCACUGGAUCGGUACUGACGCUGAGGUGCGAAAGCGUGGGGAGCAAACAGG